UGUCCUGCACUGUGCCUGGACCCCUGCCAAGGCCAAGCUGGGAGCCCCUGGCCAGGGCAAGGCCUCCCCAGGCUCCCACAGCCACUGCCGCCUCCCUGGUUCUGAGCACCAGUCACAGUGGUGUGAGUGAAUCCCAGCCACCUGAUGAACCUGUUCACCUACGAGAAGGGCUACUGCUUCGUGUACUACCUGUCCCAGCUCUGCGGAGACCCACAGCGCUUUGAUGACUUUCUCCGAGCCUACGUGGAGAAGUACAAGUUCACCAGCGUGGUGGCCCAGGACCUGCUGGACUCCUUCCUGAGCUUCUUCCCGGAGCUGAAGGAGCAGAGCGUGGACUGCCGGGCAGGGCUGGAAUUCGAGCGCUGGCUCAAUGCCACAGGCCCGCCGCUGGCUGAGCCGGACCUGUCUCAGGGAUCCAGCCUGACCCGGCCCGUGGAGGCCCUUUUCCAGCUGUGGACUGCAGAACCUCUGGACCAGGCAGCUGCCUCGGCCAGCGCCAUUGACAUCUCCAAGUGGAGGACCUUCCAGACAGCACUCUUCCUGGACCGGCUCCUGGAUGGGUCCCCACUGCCACAGGAGGUGGUGAUGAGCCUGUCCAAGUGCUACUCCUCCCUGCUGGACUCGAUGAACGCUGAGAUCCGCAUCCGCUGGCUGCAGAUCGUGGUCCGCAACGACUACUAUCCUGACCUCCACAGGGUGCGGCGCUUCCUGGAGAGCCAGAUGUCACGCAUGUACACCAUCCCGCUGUACGAGGACCUCUGCACUGGUGCCCUCAAGUCCUUCGCGCUGGAGGUCUUCUACCAGACGCAGGG
rnacentral:sRNA from 1 species